UACAGAGGCCUCAAGCGUUAAUCGGAGUCACUGGGCUUAAAGGGUGCGUAGGCGGACUCGCAAGUGCUUUGUGAAAUCCCACGGCUUAACCGUGGAACUGCUUGGUAGACUGCGAGUCUUGAGGUUGGUAGGGGUCGCUGGAACUCUAGGUGGAGCGGUGAAAUGCGUAGAUAUCUAGAGGAACGCCGAAGGUGAAGACAGGCGACUGGGCCAAUACUGACGCUGAGGCACGAAAGCGUGGGGAGCAAACGGG
rnacentral:rRNA from 1 species